UACGUAGGCAGCGAGCGUUGUUCGGAGUUACUGGGCGUAAAGGGUGCGUAGGCGGUUGUUUAAGUUUGGUGUGAAAUCUCCCGGCUCAACUGGGAGGGUGCGCCGAAUACUGAAUGACUAGAGUGCGGGAGAGGAGAGUGGAAUUCCUGGUGUAGCGGUGAAAUGCGUAGAUAUCUGGAGGAACACCGGUGGCGAAGGCGGCGUUCUGGACUGCAACUGACACUGAGGAACGAAAGCCAGGGGAGCAAACAGG
rnacentral:rRNA from 1 species